UUGAUUAUUUCUUAGUGCUUCAGAAGACACGUUUCAGAAGAGUUUUGGGGGUGCUUUCGGCAGGCCUUGUAGGCGCCCCGCCCUGGGGCAGCCUGCCGAGGCAACAGAUAAUUUAAGAACACAAAUGGGUUUGGAGUUUUACAACUCGGUAAUGAUCCCUCCGCUGGUUCACCAACGGAGA
rnacentral:misc_RNA from 1 species